UUUUGUGUCAGCAGCACUCUUUGUGGUUUCAUAUAUUAAAGAGUCUAAGUCACAUGACGCACCUUACUUCCGGCUUGUCACGUUUCCUCAAUUCUUUGGAGACGAAAUCGAAAGUAAAUAAAUAUUUAUUUAUUUAUUAAGCAUCAGGGAGUAUCAGAGAGGAUAUUUAGCAUAAAAGAAGAUUUUACAUCGAACACAUCAUGAAUAUAUAUGAUAUAUUCUUUAAGAUGAAACUAAGAUGCUACACACAAGAAAUAUUACCCUGUUUAUAUAAAUCGAUUAUAGAAUUGUAAAAGAUUUUCUUUGGGUGUGUGAUUAUUAGCAGCAUUUCUGUACUUCACUGCCUGGAAUGGGUGCAAGAAAACCAAUCCUGUAUUCUAAUUAAACCUUGAUUGCAAAGGAAUUGGCAGCCCCCUCAGAUAUUGACAAUGAUUACAGUUGAUGGAAAUAUAUAUUUCUUUAUUGCCCACUAGGGGGCUAAACAUAGAGGGGACAAAUAAGGAAUGACAAAGGGAUUAAGUUGAUUAUAUCAACCCCAGUGUGAAACUGGUACUUUAUUUAUUGA
rnacentral:misc_RNA from 1 species